AGUCAGACUGAUGAGAUGUGAAAAGAUGGAAGGAAGUCAUGAACUAAAGAAUGCAGGCAGAAAAGACAUUCUCUUCCGUAGCCUCAGAAAGGAACACAGCCCUGCCAAUACUUCAAUUUUAAGUCAAUGAGACUCAUUUUGGAUCUCUGACCUCCGGAACUGUGUGUUGGGAUGGACAAAAAGCCGAAAGUUACAGUAUUCAGUCAUAUCAAGAUUAGUAUUUUUAGUUCAGUAAUGCCUUGUAUAACACUGAGCUGAUGUCCAUCAUAUGAUCAGUAGAGAACAGAAAAUCAUGAAGAUCUUGACCUUAAACAUAUGGUCUUUGUGAAGAAAAGACAAAGCCCAGAAUAGCAACCGAUUUAGACAGACUGCCUUGAGAUGCUCAAGAAAUGGGAAUGUUCUUGUAGAAAUAAUCUGCUAGAGGAGCACACCUUUCAUCUUCUAUGGUUACAACAGCAAAAGAAGAAGGAGUUGGAGAAGGAGAAACCCAACCUGGUGAAUCAGAUAAAAGAGAGACUUUUCUGAUAAGGUUGACAUGAAAGAAAGCUGUCACUUAAUAUCAACAUCCAAGGUAUAUUUUUAAGUCCUUUAGGAAUAUGGUAUUGAGCUCUUCUUUGCUCCCUUGUUGGAAGAAGUAAACUCUAGCAAUGCUUCUGAGCUUCCUUCAGACUUGACUCUGACACCUUUUAACAUGUGCUAUUGGGUUAAUUUAUUACCUUUGGACCUCGGUUUACUCAUCUAAAGAUGAAGGAGGAUGAUUUUCAAUUUGUUGCUGUUGCAUUCUUAGAUUUGUUAUAAUAAAACCCGUAAAAUGGGAUACUGAUAGAAUUCAGCUGCUGGGGUGUCUUUAAAGAAUAAACACGAUGACAA
rnacentral:lncRNA from 1 species